GACGAACGCUGGCGGCGUGCUUAACACAUGCAAGUCGAACGGAAAGGCCCUGCUUGCAGGGUACUCGAGUUGCGAACGGGUGAGUAACACGUGGGUGAUCUGCCCUGCACUUCGGGAUAAGCCUGGUAAACUGGGUGUAAUACCGGAUAGAAGCCAUUUUUAGUGGGAUGGUUGGAAAGUUUUUUCGGUGUAGGAUGAGCUGGCGGGCUAUCAGCUUGUUGGUGUGGUAAUGUCCUACCAAGGCGGCGACGGGUAGCAGCACUGAGAGGGUGGACGGCCACACUGGCACUGAGAGAAGGCCGAGACUGCUACGGGAGGCAGAAGGGGGGAAUCUUGCACAAGGGGCGCCAGCCUGAUGCAGAGACGCCGCGGGGGGGAUGACGGUCUUAGGGUUGUAAACUAAAUUCGCUAGGGACGAAGCUUUUUGUGACGGUACCUAGAUAAGAAGCACCGGCUAACUACGUG
rnacentral:rRNA from 1 species